rnacentral:rRNA from 1 species
UACGUAGGGGGCUAGCGUUGUCCGGAAUCAUUGGGCGUAAAGCGCGCGUAGGCGGCCCGGUAAGUCCGCUGUGAAAGUCAAAGGCUCAACCUUUGAAUGUCAGCGGAUACUGCCGGGCUAGAGUCCGGAAGAGGCGAGUGGAAUUCCUGGUGUAGCGGUGGAAUGCGCAGAUAUCAGGAGGAACACCAACGGCGAAGGCAGCUCGCUGGGACGGUACUGACGCUGAGGCGCGAAAGCCAGGGGAGCAAACGGG